rnacentral:rRNA from 1 species
AGCUUGCUAAUAAUUCUCUAGUGGCGCACGGGUGAGUAACACGUGAGUACCUGCCCCCAAGAGUGGGAUAGCCCCGGGAAACUGGGAUUAAUACCGCAUAAAGCAAUAAAGCAGCAAUGCGCUUGGGGAUGGGCUCGCGUCCUAUUAGUUAGUUGGUGAGGUAACGGCUCACCAAGGCGAUGACGGGUAGCCGGUCUGAGAGGAUGUCCGGCCACACUGGAACUGAGACACGGUCCAGACACCUACGGGUGGCAGCAGUCGAGAAUCAUUCACAAUGGGGGAAACCCUGAUGGUGCGACGCCGCGUGGGGGAUAAGGUCUUCGGAUUGUAAACCCCUGUCAUGUGGGACAUUAAAAGAUAGUACCACAAGAGGAAGAGACGGCUAACUCUGUGCCAGCAGCCGCGGUAAUACAGAGGUCUCAAGCGUUGUUCGGAAUCACUGGGCGUAAAGCGUGCGUAGGCGGUUUCGUAAGUCGUGUGUGAAAGGCGGGGGCUCAACCCCCGGACUGCACAUGAUACUGCGAGACUAGAGUAAUGGAGGGGGAACCGGAAUUCUCGGUGUAGCAGUGAAAUGCGUAGAUAUCGAGAGGAACACUCGUGGCGAAGGCGGGUUCCUGGACAUUAACUGACGCUGAGGCACGAAGGCCAGGGGAGCGAAAGGGAUUAGAUACCCCUGUAGUCCUGGCAG